GUGAGAGGCACAGCGAGAUACGGUGAGAGACUGGGACACGGUGAUAGACUGAGACAGUGUGAGACACAGCGAGAGAAUUAGACAGUGUGAGACACAGUGAGACAUGAUGAGAGACUGAGACACAGCGAGACACGGUGAGAGAAUGAGACAGUGUGAGACACAGUGAGACAUGGUGAGAGAAGGAGACAGUGUGAGACACAGCGACACACAGCGAGACACUGUGAGAGAAUUAGACAGUGUGAGACACAGUGAGACACGGUGAGAGAAUGAGACAGUGCGAGACACAGCUAGAUACGGUGAGAGAAGGAGACAGUGUGAGACACUGUGAGAGACUGAGACAGUGUGAGACACAGCAAGACACAGUGAGAGAAGGAGACCGUUUGAGACACAGCGAGACAUGGUGAGAGACUGAGACAGUGUGAGACACAGCGAGACACAGUGACAGAUUGAGACAGUGUGAGACACAGCGAGACACGGUGAGAGACUAAAACACAGCGAGACACGGUGAGAGACUGAGACACGGUGAUAGACUGAGACAGUGUGAGACACAGCGAGACACAGCGAGAGACUGAGACAGUGUGAGACACGGUGAGAGAAUGAGACAGUGUGAGACACAGCGAGACACGGUGAGAGACUGGGAGUGUGAGACACAGAGUUAGUGAAUAACAUUGACAGAGACACAGAGUUAGGGAAUAACAUUGAUAGAGACACAGAGUUAGGGAAUAACAUUGACAGAGACACAGAGUUAGGGAAUAACAUUGAUAGAGACACAGCGUUAUGGAAUAACAUUGAUAGAGACACAGAGUUAGGGAAUAACAUUGAUAGAGACACAGCGUUAGGGAAUAACAUUGAUAGAGACACAGCGUUAGUGAAUAACAUUGAGCAUUAGGGAAUAACAUUGAUAGAGACACAGCGUUAGUGAAUAACAUUGAGCAUUAGGGAAUAACAUUGAUAGAGACACAGCGUUAUGGAAUAACAUUGAUAGAGACACAUCGUUAGUGAAUAACAUUGAUAGAGACACAGAGUUAGGGAAUAACAUUGAUAGAGACACAGCGUUAGGGAAUAACAUUGAUAGAGACACAGAGUUAGUAGAUAACAUUGAUAGGGAACACAGAGUUGGGAAUAACAUUGAUAAAAGACACAGCGUUAGUGAAUAGCAUUGGUGAGACACAGAGUUAAAGAAUAACAUUGAUAGACACACGCAUUGGCAAGAUAACUUUGAUAGAACACAGAGUUAGGAAUAACAUUGAUAGAAACACAGAGUUAAGGAAUAACAUUGAUAGACACCGCAUUAAUGAAUAACUUUGAUAGAGACACAGAGUUAGGGAAUAACAUUGUUAGAGACACAGAGUUAGGGAAUAACAUUGAUAGAGACACAUCGUUAGGGAAUAAUAUUGAUAAAGACACAGCGUUAGUGAAUAACAUUGAUAGAAACACAGAGUUAAGGAAUAACAUUGAUAGACACCGCAUUAAUGAAUAACUUUGAUAGAGACACAGAGUUAGGGAAUAACAUUGAUAGAAACACAGAGUUAAGGAAUAACAUUGAUAGACACCGCAUUAAUGAAUAACUUUGAUAGAGACACAGAGUUAGGGAAUAACAUUGAUAGAGACACAUCGUUAGGGAAUAAUAUUGAUAAAGACAAAGCGUUAGUGAAUAACAUUGAUUGAGACACAGAGUUAGGGAAUAACAUUGAUAGAGACACAGCGUUAGGGAAUAACAUUGAUAGAGACACAGAGUUAGGGAAUAACAUUGAUAGAGACGCAGCGUUAGUGAAUAACAUUGAUAGAGACACAGCGUUAAGGAAUAACAUUGAUAGAGACACAUCGUUAGUGAAUAACAUUGAUAGAGACACAGCGUUAGUGAAUAACAUGGAUAGAGACACAGAGUUAGGGAAUAACAUUGAUAGAGACACAGCGUUAGUGAAUAACAUGGAUAGAGACACAGAGUUAGGGAAUAACAUUGAUAAAGACACAGCGUUAGUGAAUAACAUUGAUAGAGACACAGAGUUAGUGAAUAACAUUGAUUGAGACACAGCGUUAGUGAAUAACAUUGAUAGAGACACAGAGUUAGUGAAUAAUAUUGAUAGAGACACAGAGUUAGGGAAUAACAUUGAUUGAGACACAGAGUUAGGGAAUAACAUUGAUAGAGACACCGCAUUAGUGAAUAACAUUGAUAGAGACACAGAGUUAGUGAAUAAUAUUGAUAGAGACACAGAGUUAGGGAAUAACAUUGAUAGAGACACAGAGUUAGGGAAUAACAUUGAUAGAGACACAGCAUUAGUGAAUAACAUUGAUAGAGACACAGAGUUAGUGAAUAACAUUGAUUGAGACACAGCGUUAGGGAAUAACAUUGAUAGAGACGCAGCGUUAGUGAAUAACAUUGAUAGAGACACAGCAUUAGUGAAUAACAUUGAUUGAGACACAGAGUUAGGGAAUAACAUUGAUAGAGACACAGAGUUAGGGAAUAACAUUGAUAGAGACACAGCGUUAUGGAAUAACAUUGAUAGAGACACAGAGUUAGGGAAUAACAUUGAUAGAGACACAGCGUUAGGGAAUAACAUUGAUAGAGACACAGCGUUAGUGAAUAACAUUGAGCAUUAGGGAAUAACAUUGAUAGAGACACAGCGUUAGUGAAUAACAUUGAGCAUUAGGGAAUAACAUUGAUAGAGACACAGCGUUAUGGAAUAACAUUGAUAGAGACACAUCGUUAGUGAAUAACAUUGAUAGAGACACAGAGUUAGGGAAUAACAUUGAUAGAGACACAUCGUUAGGGAAUAACAUUGAUAGAGACACAGAGUUAGUGAAUAACAUUGAUAGAGACACAGAGUAGUGAAUAACAUUGAUUGAGACACAGAGUUAAGGAAUAACAUUGAUAGACACCGCAUUAAUGAAUAACUUUGAUAGAGACACAGAGUUAGGGAAUAACAUUGAUAGAAACACAGAGUUAAGGAAUAACAUUGAUAGACACCGCAUUAAUGAAUAACUUUGAUAGAGACACAGAGUUAGGGAAUAACAUUGAUAGAGACACAGAGUUAGGGAAUAACAUUGAUAGAGACACAUCGUUAGGGAAUAAUAUUGAUAAAGACACAGCGUUAGUGAAUAACAUUGAUAGAGACACAGAGUUAGGGAAUAACAUUGAUAGAAACACAGAGUUAAGGAAUAACAUUGAUAGACACCGCAUUAAUGAAUAACUUUGAUAGAGACACAGAGUUAGGGAAUAACAUUGAUAGAGACACAUCGUUAGGGAAUAAUAUUGAUAAAGACACAGCGUUAGUGAAUAACAUUGAUUGAGACACAGAGUUAGGGAAUAACAUUGAUAGAGACACAGCGUUAGGGAAUAACAUUGAUAGAGACACAGAGUUAGGGAAUAACAUUGAUAGAGACACAGAGUUAGGGAAUAACAUUGAUAGAGACGCAGCGUUAGUGAAUAACAUUGAUAGAGACACAGCGUUAAGGAAUAACAUUGAUAGAGACACAUCGUUAGUGAAUAACAUUGAUAGAGACACAGCGUUAGUGAAUAACAUGGAUAGAGACACAGAGUUAGGGAAUAACAUUGAUAGAGACACAGCGUUAGUGAAUAACAUGGAUAGAGACACAGAGUUAGGGAAUAACAUUGAUAAAGACACAGCGUUAGUGAAUAACAUUGAUAGAGACACAGAGUUAGUGAAUAACAUUGAUUGAGACACAGCGUUAGUGAAUAACAUUGAUAGAGACACAGAGUUAGUGAAUAAUAUUGAUAGAGACACAGAGUUAGGGAAUAACAUUGAUUGAGACACAGAGUUAGGGAAUAACAUUGAUAGAGACACCGCAUUAGUGAAUAACAUUGAUAGAGACACAGAGUUAGUGAAUAAUAUUGAUAGAGACACAGAGUUAGGGAAUAACAUUGAUAGAGACACAGAGUUAGGGAAUAACAUUGAUAGAGACACAGCAUUAGUGAAUAACAUUGAUAGAGACACAGAGUUAGUGAAUAACAUUGAUUGAGACACAGCGUUAGGGAAUAACAUUGAUAGAGACGCAGCGUUAGUGAAUAACAUUGAUAGAGACACAGCAUUAGUGAAUAACAUUGAUUGAGACACAGAGUUAGGGAAUAACAUUGAUAGAGACACAGAGUUAGGGAAUAACAUUGAUAGAGACACAGCGUUAUGGAAUAACAUUGAUAGAGACACAGAGUUAGGGAAUAACAUUGAUAGAGACACAGCGUUAGGGAAUAACAUUGAUAGAGACACAGCGUUAGUGAAUAACAUUGAGCAUUAGGGAAUAACAUUGAUAGAGACACAGCGUUAUGGAAUAACAUUGAUAGAGACACAUCGUUAGUGAAUAACAUUGAUAGAGACACAGAGUUAGGGAAUAACAUUGAUAGAGACACAGCGUUAGGGAAUAACAUUGAUAGAGACACAGAGUUAGGGAAUAACAUUGAUAGAGACACAGCGUUAAGGAAUAACAUUGAUAGAGACACAGCGUUAGUGAAUAACAUUGAUAGAGACACAGCGUUAGUGAAUAACAUUGAUAAAGACACAGAGUUAGUGAAUAACAUUGAUAGAGACACAGCGUUAGUGAAUAACAUUGAUAAAGACACAUCGUUAGGGAAUAACAUUGAUAGAGACACCGCAUUAGUGAAUAACAUUGAUAGAGACACAUCGUUAGGGAAUAAUAUUGAUAAAAACACAGCGUUAGUGAAUAACAUUGAUAGAGACACAUCGUUAGGGUAUAACAUUGAUAGACACCGCAUUAAUGAAUAACUUUGAUCGAGACACAGAGUUAGGGAAUAACAUUGAUAGAGACACAGCGUUAGUGAAUAACAUUGAUCGAGACACAGAGUUAGGGAAUAACAUUGAUAGAGACACAGCGUUAGUGAAUAACAUUGAUAGAGACACAGAGUUAGGGAAUAACAUUGAUAGAGACACAGAGUUAGUGAAUAACAUUGAUGGAGACACAGCAUUAGUGAAUAACAUUGAUAGAGACACAGCGUUAAGGAAUAACAUUGAUAGAGACACAGAGUUAGGGAAUAACAUUGAUAGAGACACAGCAUUAGUGAAUAACAUUGAUCGAGACACAGAGUUAGGGAAUAACAUUGAUAGAGACACAGCGUUAGUGAAUAACAUUGAUAGAGACACAGAGUUAGGGAAUAACAUUGAUUGAGACACAGAGUUAGUGAAUAACAUUGAUAGAGACACAGAGUUAGUGAAUAACAUUGAUAGAGACACAGAGUUAGGGAAUAACAUUGAUAGAGACACCGCAUUAGUGAAUAAGAUUGAUCGAGACACAGAGUUAGGGAAUAACAUUGAUAGAGACACAGCGUUAUGGAAUAACAUUGAUAGAGACACAGAGUUAGGGAAUAACAUUGAUAGAGAGACAAAGAGUUAGGCAAAGGCAUUGAUUACUAGAUCAUUGGACACUGAGGGUCAGGGAAUGUUUUAGUAAGAGAUGUUUUCAGUUCAACGUUUUUGGUCUAACAUGUAAAAUUCACUUUGAAUUCCCAACAAUUCUCACUUUAGUUGAUGACCCAAGGGAUUCAAAUAAAACAUGUAGGUUGUUCUGACAAAAUGAUUUAUAUUCACAGUGACACACUAUGGCUUGCAGCAACGUACAGAGUAAGCAUGCAGUGAUCCAGUGACGUACACAGUGAUCCAGUGACAACACAGAGAAAUCCAGUGACACACAGGGAUCCAGUGACAUACAGAGAUCCAGUGACAUAAGGAGAGAUCCAGUGAUGUACAGAGAGAUCCAGUGGCAUACAGAGAUCCAGUGAUAUACAGAAUAAUCCGGUGAUCCAGUGACUUGCAGUGAGAUCCAGCAACCUGCAGUGCAUGGA